rnacentral:rRNA from 1 species
GACGAACGCUGGCGGCGUGCCUAAUACAUGCAAGUCGAACGAGUGGCGGAAGGGUGAGUAAUGUCUGGGAAACUGCCCGGUGGAGGGGGAUAACUACUGGAAACGGUAGCUAAUACCGCAUACCAUCGGAUGUGCCCAGAUGGGAUUAGCUAGUAGGUGGGGUAACGGCUCACCUAGGCGACGAUCCGUAGCUGGUCUGAGGGGAGGACCAGCCACACUGGAACUGAGACACCGUCCAGACUCCUAAGUGAGGCAGCAGUGGGGAAUAUUGCGCAAUGGGCGAGAGCCUGAUGCAGCGAGGCCGCGUGUAUGAAGAAGGCCUUCGGGUUGUAAAGUACUUUCAGCGGGGAGGCGUUACUCGCAGAAGAAGCACCGGCUAACUCCGUGCCAGCAGCCGCGGUAAUUC